rnacentral:rRNA from 1 species
UACGUAGGGGGCAAGCGUUGUUCGGAAUUACUGGGCGUAAAGGGUGCGUAGGCGGCAUGGCAAGUCGGGAGUGAAAGGCCUGGGCUCAACCGAGGAACUGCUUUCGAGACUGCCAAGCUAGAGUGCGGAAGGGGCAUCUGGAAUUCCCAGUGUAGCGGUGAAAUGCGUAGAUAUUGGGAAGAACACCUGAGGCGAAGGCGGGAUGCUGGGCCGACACUGACGCUGAUGCGCGAAAGCCAGGGGAGCAAACGGG